UUCCGUUAAAAGUGUCCAAUCGAACCCACAGUGUUCCGCUUACCGGGCAGAUGCCAUGCCCACUAGGCUACACUGGA